UGAGGCAUGCUGGAGGUAUCAGAAGUGCGAAUGCUGACAUAAGUAACGAUAAAGCGGGUGAAAAGCCCGCUCGCCGGAAGACCAAGGGUUCCUGUCCAACGUUAAUCGGGGCAGGGUGAGUCGACCCCUAAGGCGAGGCCGAAAGGCGUAGUCGAUGGGAAACAGGUUAAUAUUCCUGUACUUGGUGUUACUGCGAAGGGGGGACGGAGAAGGCUAUGUUGGCCGGGCGACGGUUGUCCCGGUUUAAGCGUGUAGGCUGGUUUUCCAGGCAAAUCCGGAAAAUCAAGGCUGAGGCGUGAUGACGAGGCACUACGGUGCUGAAGCAACAAAUGCCAUGCUUCCAGGAAAAGCCUCUAAGCAUCAGGUAACAUCAAAUCGUACCCCAAACCGACACAGGUGGUCAGGUAGAGAAUACCAAGGCGCUUGAGAGAACUCGGGUGAAGGAACUAGGCAAAAUGGUGCCGUAACUUCGGGAGAAGGCACGCUGAUAUGUAGGUGAAGCGACUUGCUCGUGGAGCUGAAAUCAGUCGAAGAUACCAGCUGGCUGCAACUGUUUAUUAAAAACACAGCACUGUGCAAACACGAAAGUGGACGUAUACGGUGUGACGCCUGCCCGGUGCCGGAAGGUUAAUUGAUGGGGUCAGCGCAAGCGAAGCUCUUGAUCGAAGCCCCGGUAAACGGCGGCCGUAACUAUAACGGUCCUAAGGUAGCGAAAUUCCUUGUCGGGUAAGUUCCGACCUGCACGAAUGGCGUAAUGAUGGCCAGGCUGUCUCCACCCGAGACUCAGUGAAAUUGAACUCGCUGUGAAGAUGCAGUGUACCCGCGGCAAGACGGAAAGACCCCGUGAACCUUUACUAUAGCUUGACACUGAACAUUGAGCCUUGAUGUGUAGGAUAGGUGGGAGGCUUUGAAGUGUGGACGCCAGUCUGCAUGGAGCCGACCUUGAAAUACCACCCUUUAAUGUUUGAUGUUCUAACGUUGACCCGUAAUCCGGGUUGCGGACAGUGUCUGGUGGGUAGUUUGACUGGGGCGGUCUCCUCCUAAAGAGUAACGGAGGAGCACGAAGGUUGGCUAAUCCUGGUCGGACAUCAGGAGGUUAGUGCAAUGGCAUAAGCCAGCUUGACUGCGAGCGUGACGGCGCGAGCAGGUGCGAAAGCAGGUCAUAGUGAUCCGGUGGUUCUGAAUGGAAGGGCCAUCGCUCAACGGAUAAAAGGUACUCCGGGGAUAACAGGCUGAUACCGCCCAAGAGUUCAUAUCGACGGCGGUGUUUGGCACCUCGAUGUCGGCUCAUCACAUCCUGGGGCUGAAGUAGGUCCCAAGGGUAUGGCUGUUCGCCAUUUAAAGUGGUACGCGAGCUGGGUUUAGAACGUCGUGAGACAGUUCGGUCCCUAUCUGCCGUGGGCGCUGGAGAACUGAGGGGGGCUGCUCCUAGUACGAGAGGACCGGAGUGGACGCAUCACUGGUGUUCGGGUUGUCAUGCCAAUGGCACUGCCCGGUAGCUAAAUGCGGAAGAGAUAAGUGCUGAAAGCAUCUAAGCACGAAACUUGCCCCGAGAUGAGUUCUCCCUGACUCCUUGAGAGUCCUGAAGGAACGUUGAAGACGACGACGUUGAU
rnacentral:rRNA from 1 species